CCAUUUUUUCCUCGUCUCUCUUUUUUGUCCAAGUGCAUCCUUCAAUAUGGUAUCAAAUGGGGCCGAUUCAAGUGUCAGUGGGUUAUUGGCUCUCCUUGUUUCUUUUCCUUGAGUUUUCUUUUCCUUUGUUUGGGAUAUAUGUCUGUUUCUAUUCCUGUAGUCACUUCAUCGGGGGAGGCUAACAAUGCCUCACAAAUCAAUCAGCAACUUUAAUUUGUUUUCUCCAAUAAAUAGGUGAGUGUCAGAUUGGAUAACCAUAAUUUCCUUCUCUAGAAACAGCAAGUCACGUUGAUGGUCUGUGGUCAUGAGUUGGAACACCUUUUAGAUGGGUUUGUUUCGGUGCCACCUGAGACGAUGAUUGGUGCUGAUGGAGAACUUAUGAUGAAUUUGGUGUUUUGUGUUCAUAAGAAGCUGGACAACUCUCUUGCCUCCUGGAAGUUGGACAGUUAGUUGGUGUUGAGACAUUUAUGGGUAUUUGGAAUACUAUUAUGCAACUUUAUUCUAAGUUGACCACAACUAGGGUUAUGAGUCUCCAUAGUCGGCUAAAGAACCUUAAGAAGGGGGAUUUGCCGAUUCGUGAUUUUUCCACAUAGAUUAAAGGAAUAUGUGAUCUGCUUACUUCGAGUGGAAGCCCUGUGUCUGAAGUUGAGUAAAUUGUGAUGCUCCUUAAUGGUUUUCCUAUGGAAUUUGAAUUGUUUGUGGCUGCGAUUAUGGUAAGUCGUGAUCCAUGUACUUUUGAAUCUGUAACCUCUGUGCUUAUUGAUGCAGAGUCUCACAUCGAUUAUCCUAUGAUAUUUCUGGUGUCGAUUAAUAUGGUGAGACAUGAUCGUGGGCGUGAGAGAAAUAAUGGGGAUAGGCCUUACUCUGGUGAUCAGACUGAUGAUACUCGUGGUAAAAACUCUUCCAGUAAUCAUUACAAAGGGCGGUUGCAACAUCAAUAUCAGCUAUGUGAGAAGCUUGGCCACUUAGUUUACUGGUGCUGCCAUAGGUUUGAUCAAGACUUUAAAAGAGUUUCUCCUCAACGCUCCAACUCCAGCAAUGAUGGGCAAGCCAAUGUUUAAAAAUAUACUUCUCAGUCUGCUGAGUUGUGCUAUAACCCUUUUGUGAGUUUCUCUGCAGGGUGUGAAGUUAUUGAUGAACCUGCUACUACGAACACGACUCAUGUUAACUCGCUUGUUGCAAAGGGUGUUCUUAAUAUGACAGGUACGGGAAAAGUAUAUUUGGGUGAUGGUUCGACCUUAAACAUAUCUAGUAUUGGGUGUACUUCGCUACCUGCUUUAUCUAGGUUAGCAUCAAAGGUGCUUGGACACAUCUCCCUUUUCAGAAGCUUUAUGGUAAAGCGCCAGAUUAUCAGCUCUGAGGGUUUUUGGUUGCCAAUGUUUUCCAUGUCUACGACCCUAUAACAAACAUAAAUUUGAUUUUCGCUCUAAAGCGUGUGUUUUCCUAAGAUACUCUCCUCAACACUGAGGGUACCAGUGCUUGGAUGCAAAGUUAUCAAAGGCUCAAGGCGCAUCGAGGCGCAAAGUGUCCUGGAGCCUUGAGGCGCGAGGCGCAUGAAAGGCGCGGGAUUCACGAAGGCGAGGCGCAUGAUAUCAAAAAAAUUGUAACACAUGUAUAUAUUAAUGCAAUCAAACUCAAAUAUCAUAGAUAUCCAAUAUUAGGCUUCAAUAGA